GCAAAUAUUAUGAUUUAAUGAAAAUUUGUCAAUAAACAAUCAGAUGAAACAUUUAUUUAUCGAAACCAAAAUACUGUCAACAACUAGAGCAUGUGUGUCCAAAAUAUAGUACACCGACAACUCUGAUCUUUUAUAAUGACAAUAUAGUAGGGUUGCAUACGCAGGCCCCUCUUGGAAAAUCUGUUCUACUGCUUGGUUCAGAUGCUAUGUCUUAAGCCAAACCACAUUGAAACUUUAUGUCGUGAAGUGACAGUUUUGACAUUGACAUUUUUGACGUUUUCAUUUUUGACACCCGAAAAAUUCCAUCAUAACCUCAUCUGAAAACGUGAACUGUACACAAAACUUGUCUUUAAACAAUUAAUUUUGAAUAAUAUUACAGUGUUAUAGUAUCAUUAUUGUAAUAUUUACGAUAAUACUGUAAUAUUAUUCAAAAUUAAUUGAUUAAAGACAAGUUUUGU